GAUGAACGCUGGCGGCGUGCCUAAUACAUGCAAGUCGAGCGAACAGACGAGGAGCUUGCUCCUCUGACGUUAGCGGCGGACGGGUGAGUAACACGUGGAUAACCUACCUAUAAGACUGGGAUAACUUCGGGAAACCGGAGCUAAUACCGGAUAAUAUAUUGAACCGCAUGGUUCAAUAGUGAAAGACGGUUUUGCUGUCACUUAUAGAUGGAUCCGCGCCGCAUUAGCUAGUUGGUAAGGUAACGGCUUACCAAGGCGACGAUGCGUAGCCGACCUGAGAGGGUGAUCGGCCACACUGGAACUGAGACACGGUCCAGACUCCUACGGGAGGCAGCAGUAGGGAAUCUUCCGCAAUGGGCGAAAGCCUGACGGAGCAACGCCGCGUGAGUGAUGAAGGUCUUCGGAUCGUAAAACUCUGUUAUUAGGGAAGAACAAAUGUGUAGUAACUAUGCACGUCUUGACGGUACCUAAUCAGAAAGCCACGGCUAACUACGUG
rnacentral:rRNA from 1 species